CAAAGAGCUCUCCAUCUUGGGCUAGGCACUGGCAAUGUCGGUGAUAGCGGAAACGAAGAUGGUGAGAGCAAUAGACCUGGUGAAAGCAAAGGGUACGGUGAUCGUGGCGAGUUCAAGCACCCAAACGGCAGCGGUGACGUUGGUAACUGGAACUGCGGCUGUGAUGCUAUCAUACCUGAUGUCGGCGACGAUAGUAUCCCCGGCUGCAGCGGAUCGAAUGGUUGUGGG
rnacentral:misc_RNA from 1 species